AAAAACGAAGCUUAUCAAUUCAAAUUCGAAUCAAAUAUAAUUUUUUUUUGAACAAAUAUAAAAAAUAUUUAAGAGGAUUGUAGAUUUCUAAACCGUAAUAUCUGAACUGUAUCAGAACUUUAGGCGUUGACUGGGGGGGGGGGGUAUUUGGGUUGGGUGGUUUGAUUUUCUGGUUAAUCCGGACACUAAAAAAUCUAAUCAAAUUAAACCGAUAAUUUUACGGUUAAGUUCGAUUUCGGUUCGGCACGUUUGGUUUGGAUCAAAACCGUAGGCAACCCAUACAGAUUGGAUUGAACUUCUUUCUCUCUCUCUCUCUCUCCAACGUGUCUGAACUUCCCAAGAUUCCCGAUCAUGUCAUCCGCCGGAAACUCAACCGAAUCCUCCGUCGCGGCGGCGGAGACGGACAAGAUGUUCUUCUGCCACCAAUGCAACCAAACAAUCACAAUCACCAUCUCCUCCGCCGCCGAUCCUUUCUGUCCGCUCUGCAACCUAGGCUUCCUCGAAGAAUACACAGAUCCAAUCCCCAUUCUCAUCUUCCCGAUCUCAGAUCCUCCACCCUCGUCCCGCCUCCCCUUCAUCCCAGUCAUGGACUUCACGAAUCUCGAUCACGACCCCGACGCAUUCGAUCCCGUGAGCUUCAUCCACAGCCACCUCCAGCAGCUCCAAUCAAGCGGCAUCAACGUUCAAAUGCUCUUCGAGAAUCACCACCACCACCACGGGGAUUACUUCUUUGGCCGUGGUCUCGAGGAUCUGAUCCAGCAGCUAGGGGAAGACGAUCCGAACCGUUACGGACCCCCUCCGGCUUCGAAAUCCGCCGUCGAGGCGUUACCUACUGUUAAAUUGACGGAGGAGAUGUUGCGAUCGGAUAAGAAACAGUGUGCGGUUUGUAUGGAGGAGUUUGAGGAUGGGGUCGGUGUUAAGGAGAUGCCGUGCAGACACGUGUACCAUCACGAUUGUUUGCUUCCGUGGCUGCGGCUGCAUAACACGUGUCCUGUUUGUAGGCAUGAGUUGCCUACGGACGAUGUUGAUUAUGAGAAUAGGAGGCGUGGAGGAGGUCAGACGAGUGGGGGAGGAGAGGGUGAGAGGAGGUUUAGUGUAUCGUUUCCUUGGUCGUUUAGAAGACAGGAUGCGGGUUCGGAUUCUGGGAGUGGGUCUGAUAUGGAUACUAGGCAAGACGAAUUGGAUUGAGGCCUCUUAGUACCAUGGAACCGUGUCUGAGGUGGCUGGUCACAACAUAUGUGUUGUCAUAGCUCGUGGGAUUGAUUUGCAUAAGAUGGCGUUACAACCAAAAAGUCUCUUUUGCUUGGAUUGGAAGAAAACGUGUAAAGAAGCCAUUUGUUUACACACUCCAAAAAACCUGCAAGGAGAAGAAAACUGUAUAUUUGCUUUUAGUGAGAGGUUUCACUUAAAUUUCUUUAUACAUAUCAAAAUGUCUAUACUUUUCGGUUCAUUAGGGUAUGUAUAUUACGAAAUUGAGUUUAAAAAAAAAUAUGUACUGUAAUUUCUAUCAAAUUGUGGUUGUUGUUCUGUAAUAAGUUCGGGCAUGAUUGGUCUCUAUGUUCGUUUUAAUGAUUCAGUCUAUAAUAAAAUGUUGUACCAAAUCCUUAAA